GCAGAAGAAAAGCUGGAAGCUAGCAAAGAUUGGCUCAUGAGGUUUAAGGAGCAAAACCAUCUCCAUAACAUAGUGCAAGGUGAAGCAGCAAGUGCUGAUGGAGAAGCUGCACCAGAAAAAGUUCACAAUUUGGCUUUCCACCUGAAAUGUCUGCAGUGACCAGAAGCAUCGGAUGGGAACGGAGAGGAGGCCAGGUUCUUGGCCUGCCUUUGAAAUAUGUCAUAAUUAAUUUUUGCCACCAAAUGCCUCUCAUUAGAAAAUCUCUGAACUCAUCUCAGCAGGUGAAGUGAUGUAUCCCCUCAACGGCGUGCUCUGCCUAGCAGCUUGCAGAUUCAACGACUGUAAAUAGUCAUGUAACAGCUACGACAAUCAAGACAUGGAACCUUCCCAGCUCUCCCAGACAACCCCUCACACCCUGAGUCCUCUUCCCUGAU
rnacentral:lncRNA from 10 species